GUAAGGGAACUUUGGUGACUUAGUGCGGUCACUGGGAGAAUUGUAGAGUCCACUGGAGAGAAAGAAAAAUGGUCAAAAAGAGCCCAGAGAGUUCCUGGGGGAACACACACCCCAGCCUAGACCUAGAGUUAUUCAUAACUGCACAGCUGGUACUUCCAGAGGCACACGCACCAGGGGCAUGUGGUUCUCUUUGCUGACAAGAUUUAUUGAAGGAAAAGAGUUAUCCUACUGAUGCUGUUCGAUCCUAGCAGAGGAGGAGAAGGAAAGAUGGAAGAGAGAAAGGAAACAGUGAUAAGGAAAUGAAAGAAACAGAAGACUUGUUUUAAAAUGCAAUUUUAGGGACACUGUGGCACAUUUUAUUGAUAAAUUAUAACCCCAAAUAAAUAAUGAAUCACCCAAUAAA
rnacentral:antisense_RNA from 1 species